ACUACAUUCGUUAUGGACCUGUGAUACCUGGAAGUGACAUCUGAUGAAGAGAAUCAAAGCUAAGUCCCCUCCUGUUCCAUGGUUUAACAAGCGAUGACCACUCUACUUCCAUUGUCAACUAACUCCUCACAUGAACUGGAAGCCACGUCUCAUGUGGCCCACUCAACCACUGGCACAUUGAAUGUUUCCUCUCCAAGCACGUCAAACCCUGCCCUGCACUGGUCAAGCCUCUGAACACCUCAACUCAUGCCUCAUACCCU